AUUGAACGCUGGCGGCGUGCCUAACACAUGCAAGUCGAGCGGUAACAGGUGUAGCAAUACAUGCUGACGAGCGGCGGACGGGUGAGUAACGCUUGGGAAUCUGCCUAUUAGUGGGGGACGAACCCGGGGAAACUCGGGCUAAUACCGCAUACGCUCUACGGAGGAAACGGCCGGGGACCGCAAGGCCUGGCGUUAAUAGAUGAGCCCAAGUCGGAUUAGCUAGUUGGUAGGUAAUGGCCACCAAGGCGACGAUCCGUAACUGGUCUGAGAGGACGACCAGUCACACCGGAACUGAGACACGGUCCGGACUCCUACGGGAGGCAGCAGGUGGGGAAUAUUGGACAAUGGGCGAAAGCCUGAUCCAGCGACGCCGCGUGA
rnacentral:rRNA from 1 species